rnacentral:rRNA from 1 species
CGCUGAGACUCCUACGGGAGGCAGCAUGGGGAAUAUUGCACAAUGGGGGAAACCCUGAUGCAGCCAUGCCGCGUGUGUGAAGAAGGCCUUCGGGUUGUAAAGCACUUUCAGUAGGGAGGAAGGUAGUGUAGUUAACACCUGCAUUAUUUGACGUUACCUACAGAAGAAGCACCGGCUAACUCCGUGCCAGCAGCCGCGGUAAUACGGAGGGUGCGAGCGUUAAUCGGAAUUACUGGGCGUAAAGCGCAUGCAGGCGGCCUGUUAAGUCAGAUGUGAAAGCCCCGGGGCUUAACCUCGGAAUUGCAUUUGAAACUGGCAGGCUAGAGUCUUGUAGAGGGGGUAGAAUUUCAGGUGUAGCGGUGAAAUGCGUAGAGAUCUGAAGGAAUACCAGUGGCGAAGGCGGCCCCCUGGACAAAGACUGACGCUCAGAUGCGAAAGCGUGGGGAGCAAACAGGAUUAGAUACCCUGGUAG